GAUGAACGCUGGCGGCGUGCUUAACACAUGCAAGUCGAACGGACAGGCGCGUGCUUGCAGGGGUUCUCGAUUGGCGAACGGGGGAGUAACACGUGUGUGAACUGCCCUGCACUUCGGGAUAAGCCUUGGGAACUGCGUCUCUUACCGGGUAGGACAUUUUUUUCGAUGUCAUUGUGGAAAGUUGUUCGGUGUUGGUUUGGCUUGUGGCUUAUCGGCUUGUUGGUGGGGUAAUGGCAUACCAAGGCGCCGACCGAUAGCCGGCAUGAGAGGGUGUACGCGGACAUUGGGACUGAGAUACGGCCCAGACUCGUACGGGAGGCAGCAGUGGGGAACAUUACGCAACGGGCGCAAGUGUGAUACAGCGACGUCGCGUUGGGGAUGACGGCCUACGGGUUGUAAACACCUGUCGCUGGAGACGAACCGAAAGUGACGGUACCUGGAGAAGAAGCACCGGCUAACUACGUG
rnacentral:rRNA from 1 species